ACGGGUGAGUAAUGUCUGGGAAACUGCCUGAUGGAGGGGGAUAACUACUGGAAACGGUAGCUAAUACCGCAUAACGUCGCAAGACCAAAGAGGGGGACCUUCGGGCCUCUUGCCAUCAGAUGUGCCCAGAUGGGAUUAGCUAGUAGGUGGGGUAAUGGCUCACCUAGGCGACGAUCCCUAGCUGGUCUGAGAGGAUGACCAGCCACACUGGAACUGAGACACGGUCCAGACUCCUACGGGAGGCAGCAGUGGGGAAUAUUGCACAAUGGGCGCAAGCCUGAUGCAGCCAUGCCGCGUGUAUGAAGAAGGCCUUCGGGUUGUAAAGUACUUUCAGCGGGGAGGAAGGUGUUGUGGUUAAUAACCGCAGCAAUUGACGUUACCCGCAGAAGAAGCACCGGCUGACUCCGUGCCAGCAGCCGCGGUAAUACGGAGGGUGCAAGCGUUAAUCGGAAUUACUGGGCGUAAAGCGCACGCAGGCGGUCUGUCAAGUCGGAUGUGAAAUCCCCGGGCUCAACCUGGGAACUGCAUUCGAAACUGGCAGGCUAGAGUCUUGUAGAGGGGGGUAGAAUUCCAGGUGUAGCG
rnacentral:rRNA from 1 species